AUUGAACGCUGGCGGCAGGCCUAACACAUGCAAGUCGAGCGGAUGAAGGGAGCUUGCUCCUGGAUUCAGCGGCGGACGGGUGAGUAAUGCCUAGGAAUCUGCCUGGUAGUGGGGGAUAACGUCCGGAAACGGGCGCUAAUACCGCAUACGUCCUGAGGGAGAAAGUGGGGGAUCUUCGGACCUCACGCUAUCGGAUGAGCCUAGGUCGGAUUAGCUAGUUGGUGGGGUAAAGGCCUACCAAGGCGACGAUCCGUAACUGGUCUGAGAGGAUGAUCAGUCACACUGGAACUGAGACACGGUCCAGACUCCUACGGGAGGCAGCAGUGGGGAAUAUUGGACAAUGGGCGAAAGCCUGAUCCAGCCAUGCCGCGUGUGUGAAGAAGGUCUUCGGAUUGUAAAGCACUUUAAGUUGGGAGGAAGGGCAGAAAGUUAAUACCUUGCUGUUUUGACGUUACCAACAGAAUAAGCACCGGCUAACUUCGUG
rnacentral:rRNA from 1 species